rnacentral:rRNA from 1 species
GAUAUGAACCGUUAUAACCGGCGAUGUCCGAAUGGGGAAACCCAGUGCAAUUCGUUGCACUAUCGUUAACUGAAUACAUAGGUUAACGAGGCGAACCGGGGGAACUGAAACAUCUAAGUACCCCGAGGAAAAGAAAUCAACCGAGAUUCCCCCAGUAGCGGCGAGCGAACGGGGAGCAGCCCAGAGUCUGAAUCAGCUUGUGUGUUAGUGGAACGGUCUGGAAAGUCCGACGGUACAGGGUGAUAGUCCCGUACACCAAAAUGCACAGGCUGUGAACUCGAAGAGUAGGGCGGGACACGUGGUAUCCUGUCUGAAUAUGGGGGGACCAUCCUCCAAGGCUAAAUACUCCUGACUGACCGAUAGUGAACCAGUACCGUGAGGGAAAGGCGAAAAGAACCCCGGCGAGGGGAGUGAAAAAGAACCUGAAACCGUGUACGUACAAGCAGUGGGAGCACCUUCGGGUGUGACUGCGUACCUUUUGUAUAAUGGGUCAGCGACUUAUAUUCUGUAGCAAGGUUAACCGUAUAGGGGAGCCGCAGGGAAACCGAGUCUUAACUGGGCGUUAAGUUGCAGGGUAUAGACCCGAAACCCGGUGAUCUAGCCAUGGGCAGGUUGAAGGUUGGGUAACACUAACUGGAGGACCGAACCGACUAAUGUUGAAAAAUUAGCGGAUGACUUGUGGCUGGGGGUGAAAGGCCAAUCAAACCGGGAGAUAGCUGGUUCUCCCCGAAAGCUAUUUAGGUAGCGCCUCGUGAACUCAUCUUCGGGGGUAGAGCACUGUUUCGGCUAGGGGGUCAUCCCGACUUACCAACCCGAUGCAAACUACGAAUACCGAAGAAUGUUAUCACGGGAGACACACGGCGGGUGCUAACGUCCGUCGUGAAGAGGGAAACAACCCAGACCGCCAGCUAAGGUCCCAAAGUCAUGGUUAAGUGGGAAACGAUGUGGGAAGGCACAGACAGCCAGGAUGUUGGCUUAGAAGCAGCCAUCAUUUAAAGAAAGCGUAAUAGCUCACUGGUCGAGUCGGCCUGCGCGGAAGAUGUAACGGGGCUAAACCAUGCACCGAAGCUGCGGCAGCGACACUAUGUGUUGUUGGGUAGGGGAGCGUUCUGUAAGCCUGCGAAGGUGACCUGUGAGGGUUGCUGGAGGUAUCAGAAGUGCGAAUGCUGACAUAAGUAACGAUAAAGCGGGUGAAAAGCCCGCUCGCCGGAAGACCAAGGGUUCCUGUCCAACGUUAAUCGGGGCAGGGUGAGUCGACCCCUAAGGCGAGGCCGAAAGGCGUAGUCGAUGGGAAACAGGUUAAUAUUCCUGUACUUGGUGUUACUGCGAAGGGGGGACGGAGAAGGCUAUGUUAGCCGGGCGACGGUUGUCCCGGUUUAAGCAUGUAGGCUGGUUAUCCAGGCAAAUCCGGAUAAUCAAGGCUGAGGUGUGAUGACGAGGUACUACGGUGCUGAAGUAACAAAUGCCCUGCUUCCAGGAAAAGCCUCUAAGCAUCAGGUAACAUUAAAUCGUACCCCAAACCGACACAGGUGGUCAGGUAGAGAAUACCAAGGCGCUUGAGAGAACUCGGGUGAAGGAACUAGGCAAAAUGGUGCCGUAACUUCGGGAGAAGGCACGCUGGUGUGUAGGUGAAGUCCCUGCGGAUGGAGCUGAGACCAGUCGAAGAUACCAGCUGGCUGCAACUGUUUAUUAAAAACACAGCACUGUGCAAACACGAAAGUGGACGUAUACGGUGUGACGCCUGCCCGGUGCCGGAAGGUUAAUUGAUGGGGUUAUCCGUAAGGAGAAGCUCUUGAUCGAAGCCCCGGUAAACGGCGGCCGUAACUAUAACGGUCCUAAGGUAGCGAAAUUCCUUGUCGGGUAAGUUCCGACCUGCACGAAUGGCGUAAUGAUGGCCAGGCUGUCUCCACCCGAGACUCAGUGAAAUUGAACUCGCUGUGAAGAUGCAGUGUACCCGCGGCAAGACGGAAAGACCCCGUGAACCUUUACUAUAGCUUGACACUGAACAUUGAGCCUUGAUGUGUAGGAUAGGUGGGAGGCUUUGAAGCGUGGACGCCAGUCUGCGUGGAGCCAACCUUGAAAUACCACCCUUUAAUGUUUGAUGUUCUAACGUUGGCCCCUGACCGGGGUUGCGGACAGUGUCUGGUGGGUAGUUUGACUGGGGCGGUCUCCUCCCAAAGCGUAACGGAGGAGCACGAAGGUUAGCUAAUCCUGGUCGGACAUCAGGAGGUUAGUGCAAUGGCAUAAGCUAGCUUGACUGCGAGCGUGACGGCGCGAGCAGGUGCGAAAGCAGGUCAUAGUGAUCCGGUGGUUCUGAAUGGAAGGGCCAUCGCUCAACGGAUAAAAGGUACUCCGGGGAUAACAGGCUGAUACCGCCCAAGAGUUCAUAUCGACGGCGGUGUUUGGCACCUCGAUGUCGGCUCAUCACAUCCUGGGGCUGAAGUAGGUCCCAAGGGUAUGGCUGUUCGCCAUUUAAAGUGGUACGCGAGCUGGGUUUAGAACGUCGUGAGACAGUUCGGUCCCUAUCUGCCGUGGGCGCUGGAGAAUUGAGGGGGGCUGCUCCUAGUACGAGAGGACCGGAGUGGACGCAUCACUGGUGUUCGGGUUGUCAUGCCAAUGGCACUGCCCGGUAGCUAAAUGCGGAAGAGAUAAGUGCUGAAAGCAUCUAAGCACGAAACUUGCCCCGAGAUGAGUUCUCCCUGAGACUUUAAGUCUCCUGAAGGAACGUUAAAGACGAUGACGUUGAUAGGCCGGGUGUGUAAGCGCAGCGAUGCGUUGAGCUAACCGGUACUAAUGAACCGUGAGGCUUAACCUU